rnacentral:rRNA from 1 species
UACGAAGGGGGCUAGCGUUGUUCGGAAUUACUGGGCGUAAAGCGCGCGUAGGCGGACCUGCAAGUCGGGGGUGAAAGCCCGAGGCUCAACCUCGGAACUGCCUUCGAUACUGCGGGUCUCGAGUCCGGGAGAGGUGAGUGGAAUUCCUAGUGUAGAGGUGAAAUUCGUAGAUAUUAGGAAGAACACCAGUGGCGAAGGCGGCUCACUGGCCCGGUACUGACGCUGAGGCGCGAAAGCCAGGGGAGCAAACGGG